rnacentral:rRNA from 1 species
AUGCCGCGUGUGUGAAGAAGGCCUUCGGGUUGUAAAGCACUUUCAGUAGGGAGGAAAGGUAGCGUGUUAAUAGCACGUUACUGUGACGUUACCUACAGAAGAAGGACCGGCUAACUCCGUG